rnacentral:piRNA from 1 species
CCUCAGAAGCACUAUUUUACUUUGA